UUCAAGAAUAGCCUCCCCUUAUCGAAAAGAAGGGUCCGAAGAAGACAGAACUGGCCAUCCUUCUCAUCCCCCUAAGGAAGUAGAGCGCGGUGAAAGAAUUCCGUCGUUCAGUCGAAGGGGACAGGUUAGCAGCUUCAGGAUAACCCGAGCAGUGAAAGAGAAGUAGGGUUCAGGCCAAUCGAUCCUAUUUCGAUUAUACGGCUGGGUUCUAAACCAAAAAAGGGCAUUUGAAAGCAGAGCAAGUAUUAGUAGCAUAACAAAAAAGCCUUCCUCGUCAUUAAUAUCUUUGCUCGCGGCAAUUGUGACCUCUCGGGAGAAUC
rnacentral:lncRNA from 1 species